GAAUUGCACAAAUUGACAAGUUGGCAUCUCCCCUGACAGGGAUGGGAGCGGCCUUUGGGCUUUCCUGUUAGCACACAUCCUAGAUCUAGCUAGCAGCUUUGGUUGUUCCCUCUCUUGGUCCACUUGUUU